rnacentral:lncRNA from 1 species
AGUUUCGGUCGGCAAGGGAAUCAAGAUCUGACUUAGUUUCAAUUGACAGAGCAAGAGAGGGCAGGGUUGGGAAAACUUGCUUUGUCGUCAACUCGGGCUUCGAAUUAGAUACAAAGGACAGGUCUUCUUCUCUGGAUAAGGUAUUUAAUGAAACAACUCUAUUCUUGUCUCCUGUAAGCUCCUAUAGUGCAUUUAUGACUACAAUCUUUAUGGUCAAGAGAAGCAAGCGGUAUAGUCUAAUAGCCUUCUUCAGCCUUUCCUUCACCUUAAUGGCACAUUUAUUGAGCAUCCUUGAUAUAAGACACCCUAAAAGCUGUUUCAAUGAAUUGACUAGCGGCAGGAGCGGAGCCCAAAACCCAAUAAUGAAUUAGGCGCAACAAGUCCUUUGUUCAUGGCUGAAGGGAGAGUUUUGUAGGUUUCGUCAAGUUCAAGUAAAGUAGCAAGCGCUAAGUAGACCAAAUCGGAUACAGUUGACAGUAUUGUUCCAGAAGCCUCAUGCCCGGAUGAAGCAGCAGAUGGAAAGUAUCAACUCUAUAAGAAGAAUAAGCUAUAGAAGGAUCAGUUUCAAGUGGUGUUGGCGAUGAGAGAAGUUAUGUUCGACACUUGAAUCAAUUCUAUACCAGGAGGCAAUUCCAGUUAUUGUUGUUGGAGACGAGUAUCCUUCUGUUCGAGUUAAAGUCUUAGACAAGUUGCUACUGCUGACCUCUUACUUGAGAAACCGACAAGCCAAGCAAGCACCCUUCCUCUCUUAAAGGGCACAAAGGUAAAGCCUACCACAACAGAGCUCGGUGUUGGGUCAAUUAGGCCAUAGGCCGAGUUCGGGUAAGAAGAUAGUAGUCCUGUUCGAGUGCUUGUUUAAGACCGCCCCUACUCUUUGGGCCCUACUAAUAAUACCAACCCUGAUUCCGUUUCUUCCCCAAGUCCUGAGUUAACCCUACCUGAGUUCACCCUAUUAAUAGCUAAAGUCAAAGUCUCUACUGAUUUACUUAGUGCUUCCAUACUAUGUGAUGUGAUCCAGAUCAGAUGGAAAUAAUCUUCUUUCGAGUACUUUACUAAUUGGUAUACGAGGGUCUCUGUAUUGGGAGUUAGAGUGAAACCAGAUGCGGGAUCUUAUCGACGCGCCUAGGAAACUACUAUAUAUCUUUCUUUCGCCAAUCGAGCUCCUUCUUGAACACCCGAAGAACUAGACCACUCCCUUCUUUAAGUCAUCCGAUCCUUUAGUAAAGCCUUACUCUCCUUUCUUUGACUCUGAAAACUGUCAUUCCCGAACUGACUUCUCUGUCCUUCAUUCUUGUACUAAUGCCUAUCAGCCACCAAGCCGCUGCUCUAACUCUGACUACCCUAGCUCUAAAACUCACUCCCUUUCUUGCACUGUUGACUUCAAACUCCUUCUCUAAUAGAAUAAAGGAAAGGACAUAGGCAGAGGAGAGGCUCACACUCAACAACAAUACUUUAAGGGAAUUGGUCAACUUAAUAUCAUAUAAGAUAGAUAGAAUGAAAGACCUUUGAAACUCCCCUUUCUGAAUCGCCAAAACCUUACUUUUGAACAGCUUAUAAAUAGGAUGAAACUUGAACUAGCCCGCUUGAUGCUUACUUUAGAACUGGUGAUUCUCUUUAGAAACUGACUUAUUGUUUGGUAUCUUGGCUUUAGCUUACAUUAGAGGUUUCCCUAUUUCCCACUCUCUCUCCCUUACCUAUACAUCUAAGGAUUCCUGCCUUGACGAGGACUCUUCUGCUGCCCCUGAUGCCUGUGCCUCUGCAUGCCCUCUCCCUUCUACAGUUAACGAGAUCACCCUUUAGGUUUCUGGUGGUACUGUCAAAUCCUUUACAGUGGAGAUGGACCCUACCCGUCAUAUGCUGAGUAAGCAUGAGUCAUGGUAGCGUGAGGGUGACUAGGUGUUCGCUGUUCUUGUGGUGUCGUUCGGGUGUUUCUGCUUGGGUGUUUCCUAUCGUGUGGUGUUGUUUGUUUGCUUCUCGGGCUUAAGUAUAAGAGCCGAUCCUUCUCCUGUUCCUGCUCGAGUGCUAGUUUCAAGAAGUAAAGUAUUUGUUGCCAGCUGCUAGUGGAGAUGAGCCAGAGGAGAGGUAAAGUACUUGCUUUGAAGCUAGGUGGGAGCUAGGGAAGUAAUUCUUAUUGGAAUACCGGGUAGGAAUGGAAACUGGAAGGUCAGAAUCAAACAAGUAAGUCGGCUAAGAAUGUACCUCAGUAGUCACAGUAUCGGCAUGCGGAGGAGAAAGUGAGAAAUCAACCAGUAAGUAUAAGAAUCAGAAUGCAACCACUACUAUAGAGCUACUAAGAUCAGAAUUCACCUAGGCAAGGAGGAAUUACAGAAUUGAACUAACAAGUGGGAAAGUUAGAAUGGAACACCAGCCGAGGGGAAGUGAGAAUGCACCUAACUAGUUGAAGAAUCAAAUCCGUACUAAUACCAACUGCUAUGACCACAUCCAACUAAGGAGUCAAAGACCAAAAGCAAGAAUGCACCUAAGGAGUGUAAGACUAAAAGCACUGCCGCUCAGGCUUCAAUCGGUAUCACUGAGAAUGCAGCUAAGUAGGUGUAAGACUGAAGCAGUAAUAGUGUAUGUAAGGCUUGAACCAGUACCCCCGAGAAUGUAGCUAGUACAACUAAGAAUGCCAGUAGCCAUUAUCAGAAUUGACCUCACUCGUCUCAGCCUGUGCAGCUAGGUAGCUCGGGUCUCUGUUUAAGGGUAGUCAGCCUGAUGCUAUGUAGCUAAGGUACUACUAUGUCCUGUGUUCGUCAGACCGAAGCCACAACAAGGGAAAUCAACUCCGGAGUAGGAGAAAUAAACGUAGUAAACCGAGCCUUACUCACUCCGCUGACAGACAAGCCUUAAUAACUCCAAUAAAGAACAAAAGACGGACUUUUGACUAAAACUCUCCCGCUACUCCCCUAAAGUUGUACUGCAAUAGCACAUUUCAUAGAUGGAAUACAAGGUAGCGAUAUUAGAAGAGAGCUGCUGCUUCUCAUACUUGUAGCCCAUGGAACCUAGGCUGACUGCCUUGACCCCUUACCCCUUUGUGAAGUCUCCGAACUCCGCUUUUCAUCCUUACUGCCCUGAUCUAACAUAUGUAUUUGCCUGCUGAUCUAGCAUCUGUAUUUGUUGACUAAGAUAUAGUAGCAAGAGAGGAGCAAAAGUUCCAAGAAAGAGUUAAGAAAGAGGAAAGGUAGUUAUGUAUGUAUGUAUUCUUAGUAUCGGAUCGGAGUAGCAGCAACUAAACUCUAGUAUAGGAGAGCGCUAUCUUACUAUUAGGCUAUAAACUAUGCUAUCUUACUCCACUAUGCUAUCUUACUAUUAGGCUAUAAACUCAACUAGAUUAUUAUAUAAACUCAACUAGAUUAUGAAUUCUAUUAGGAGUUACUGACUCAUUCUUUUCUUCCAUUAUACUUAAUGAGCUUAUCCCCCGAUGCAUCCUUACUUACUCUAAACAAAUGGUUGCCAGCAGCUGGGCUUGUUUCAAGAAGUAUUUGUUGGCUACCUGUACCCGCUUCAAAGCCUUGACUUUUGACAUGAUGAAUAGACUAGAAGUGGUUAGUUACUGAACACUUUCAAAACAGCUAAACUCCUAUAGUAGUGAGUCUGGAAAGUCGGAAUUUAGGAAUCCAGUACUAGAUCGUAAGAAACAGAAGAAUUAGCAUUAAGAAAAUGGUCACGUAAUACCGAAAGACAGAAAAGAGAAACUUAGGGAAUAAGUAGUAAGCCCAAGAGUGAGUAGAGCAAGUCGUAUAGAGUAGAUAGUCGCGUUCUCUUUUAUUUGUUUCAUUAUGGUUAGUAGUUAGUUGCUUUCUGAGAGGCAGUAACUAUAUUCUAUACUCUAAGUGAAAGUACUGGAAGCAGCACCCGUUUCCUAUAUCCUUUGUUUUAGUUAGCUUUUCCUUCUUUUCGUUCUGAAAUUGCUUAUUAAGUUAUCUUAUAAUAGGAUAAGUGGGGCACUGUUGAAGCCCCUAGCUCUUAGUGCAAAUCUAUAGACUCCCGUUUAGGUCUUGCAUGUCCCUGUCUCAUCUUUGCUUCUAUUAGUUUGAUUCUGAUCCGAUGUAUUCUUAUUAUACUAUUGCGUUUGAUUGUUGUCAGCACUAAUUUGAUCCGCCCCACAAGUCGUUUUCAAUCUAUCAGCAUAGCAGUUGAUUCUCAUAUUCCAUAGUUCCAUUCUCUCAAGCAGUAAUCGGAUACUAGUGAAUUCCUAUUAGAGACUUGAUUCUUAUACAGAUAAGUGGAAGAGCCAAAGGUCAAAUACAUAAUUUUAGAUAGGAGAGCGUUAGACUACAGGUGUGGGAAAGGAAUAAGGAUCAUCAACCUAAUAAGUAAGGCUCGGAUUACUUACUACCAAUACUAGAUUGAGUUCUUAUCACCUAGAGGAUAGGGCGCAUUCUUUUACUGUUAGAUCGUAUUCUUUCACUUCUUUUUGGAUUCUGAGUUCCUAGUGGAGUUAACCGAGUUGGAUUCCCUGUUAGUGUAUAAAUCCAUAUUAUUUUCAUUCUUGUGCUAGUAGGCUCUAUUCCAUUCCUCUGUAUACGGUAUAUCUCGUACCUAUGACACCGGCUAAAGAAUAAGAGUCAGCAGCGGGAGAGUGAACCAGGAAGAGCGCCCAGGAGAGAAGGCUUUGUUUGUUAUUUCAGAAGUAUUAGAGGGUCAGACACCUUUACAGCCUCACGGGGAGUAGUUUCAGUCUGAAUUCCUGGUUUAUAGUCUACCAUUGGGUGUUUAUUCGCUAGGUAAGUAGUGAAUCCUCAAAAGCACUAGCUCCACUCUUAUUAUUAGUAGGGGAGUAAGACCUAACAAAAAGGGAGUUAGCCUCAUCCUGAUAGGCAGUAAAGAGAGUCUUCUCGUUGGUAGACGCAUUCUUUAUAGCAGUGAUUUCAAUCCAAUAGUACUAUAGUUGCGUGUCGAGUUCCCAUUUCCUAGCUGUUGUCCUAUGGGCAGUAGUCGCAUUCUAAUGUCGCAGGUGGAUUCUUAUUCGUAGAUGCGCUGAGUCGUCCUCUUAUCUAUUCGUCUCGAUUCUAGUUGGUGGCAGCAUCGGUCUUGCCCGUACUAGUUCUUGUUGGCAUUCAUUGUUUUAAUUACUCGUUUUUCGUUUCAUUAUUCUCAGUAAUGGUUUGAUCCUCAUUAGGACUAGUUGGAUUGCCGUGCCUUUCUUUCUUAUAGCUGGUAGUCACAGGCCGUAUAGCUGGUAGUCACUGGCUUUGUUACUUGUUUGAUUCUUGGAAUUACCUUCGUUUUCACUUGUAUAAUAUUGGAUUAGUAUUUGACUGUAUUUUAGGGUCUCAAAAGUACAAUCGCUAUUCUUUUUGAUAUAUGUUUUUUCUAUUUGCUAUAUCAACACAACUGCUAUACUUUUCUUGUGAACGAUGGAUCAGUUGCCUUUACCUCCUCGACCUGUUGUAUUAGAUUCCAUCCAAGAAGUCAGACAACCCAUAGGGACUAGGAGCCGGCCUACUACUACUAAUGGAACCCAGGCUACCAAUACAAUACCUCAAGACAGGAAUAAGUAUUUGAGUCAUCAACACAAGAAAGGGAAUCGAACAGGGCUAACAAGACCUAUGCUCUAAACUGAAACUUUAGCUACUACACAUUAGAUCGAACUACUGCCAAACAGGCUAUAUAACCACUACGGCGAACUUACAACGAAGACUCGAGCCACUGCUAUAGGGAUUGGUACCGCACCUAACCAUACAAAAAAGAACCCACUGCUUCUCCGACUUAACUACAUAGCUUAGGCUUUCCCUCCUGACAUAAAAGCUGCCCCUAUACUGAUUAUUCUUUUCGCGUAUAUUUCAGAUUCUGUUUACCCAUACUGAUAUGUAUUGAUAUAUGUUUUAUCUAUUGAUAUAUCUUAUUCUAUUUUCUUAGGAAACUCAGUCUAAAAGGGGCGGGCCCGAGCUCCAAUUACAUACAGAGUUCAAGAUAGGUAGGGCUGGCAGGGAGAUAGACUGAUCUAGGACGGUAGUAAGAGUUCCGGUCUAGGAAGGUUGUAAGAGUUCCGGUGCUAUAAUUGAUAGUUGAGUUAUUAUUUCUUAGCCACAUUCCCGCUUGGUGAAGUGAGUCUGUUAGUGCGCUGUUGCAUUACCUUCUUCUUUAGAAAAUCCGUAUUGGUAGCCCGAGUUUAGUUCUAUUCUCCUUAGUAGUCACUUGAUAAAGUAAAGGACAAGCAAGGAUGCGAGGAAAUCAGUAAAGUUUCAAUCAAUAGAUAAGGAAUUUAGACAGGUAGAGACACACUUAAGCCGGAGAUAGAGAAUGCAAAUAACGAGUAAGACCCGGGAUGCGCCCUACAUCGCCCUUAUUCUAAUAAAUAGAUAGGUAGGUUGAUUCCAUGUUCUAAUACUGAGCUUGAUUCUAUGUUCUCGAGUUGGAUCUAUCAGAGUGGUGCGGCAGCCUUUAAGGCAUUAGUUUUCAGAGUGAAGGCAAAGAGAGAGUAGGCCUAUAGUUUGUAGUAGAAGAAUCAUAUGUUAAAUCCAGGGGGGCUCAUACAUCGUAUAAAAAGUAAGGAUCCAAUCCAUACAAAUAGUUAGAUAAUUAAGUAAAGGCGUCGUGUAUUCCCAUAUUCUGUAGCGGGAGUCUUUUCAGUAGUAGUUAGAUUCUUUCUCGUAAGUGAGUAUUGGUAGAGUCAUUCUAUAUUCCUGUAUUUAGUCCUGUAGUUAGUAGUUCAAUUCAGGCUUACUUUGCUGUUUCCCAGACGGAAUUAAUACUAUAGGAACUCCAUUACCGAUAACAAUAAUAGAACUACUAAUAUAGACCUUAACUGCUCUAUCCGUAAGAAUCCACUAAUGUUUGCCCAGGGAAUCCAACAAAGAAGUAUGGCCCUACCACUAGAUACGAGCUAAGAAGUAAGGUCAGACCUACCCCACAUAGCAGAACUAGGCUAGUUAUAGCAGAAUCCAACUCGAAUAGCGGAUUUCAGAGGUGCCCAACAAGACAAAAACUCAUAAUCAAUAAUUUCAUUGAUAGGUGUGAAGAAGCCCUUUCUUAGUUGCUUGGCCCAUUCCUUUGAGUAUUAGUGUGGUUCUGAUUGUAUGCACUAGAUCAUAUUCUCAAUAGAAGUAAGUAGCACACCUCUUUGAAUAAGAGGCAGGCAGGAGCAGCAGAGCUUGAAGUCAGGGUGGAUUCUUGUAUACCAGAGUGACAUUCUCUUAAGUGAUGGUUUCGUCCAGAAGGAUACCUUCCUUGUUUUCUUCUUGUUAUCAUUUACGUAGUUGUUUGUCCCGUUGCUUCUUUAUUCUUAGACUCGUGGCUCAUAUUCUAUGCCCGGUAUCCUGACUUUGCAGACAAGGGAGGAGAUCAAUGAAUACAAGGGCGGGGCGGGAACCAGACAAAAAGUAGUGAGCGGCAGACUAACCUAUAAGUCAAGGUGUGAGAUCAGUAAUGGUAGUUUUGGGGUUCUUCUCACUCCCCCGCAAGGUAAGGCUUCAAUAUCACCUUAACAAGCCAGAUUGGGUCCACCCGGGGGUAAGCCUGAGGAGACCGGAGUCAAAGAAUGGAAACACAGAAAGGUAGUCUGAUAGGCGAAAGCAAAGAUCCGAAUCAGUAAUGAAAAGUCAUUAAAGGAUAGAAGAUAGGCAAUGCAGACUAUAAGCAAGUAGUAGCUGUCUCAUCAGUUGUAGUUCACACCUUGGAAACAGCAGCUCAAGAAAUCAAGUAAGCGGUGUCAGUCUCAUAUGCCCAGGGGUCUCUUCUAUCAGGUAGUGCUCAAUUCCCAGUUAACAGUUUACAUCUGAUUGAUAAGUUGUAGUUAAAGUGGCUGGUGCACAGUUGGAUCCUGUGUUAGCGGUGUUGGAUUCCCUGUUUCUUGUUUGAGUCUUUUCUUUUAUAAGGAGCAGUUAAGUGUAAAGGUGCUGAAAGCCAGUUUCCAAUCGAGUUUCUUUGUUUGUUUGAUUCGAUAGGAACUAGUUCAUUCUUUUGUUUCUUCUUCGGGCUUAUACUAGCUCCAUUGGUAUUGUAGUCCGGUAUCCUACUUUCUGUAAUUAUAGCUUUUGAGCUGGAUUCUUUGUUUAAAGUUAAAGCCUUGAGAGCAAGCUGUAGUUAUAUAAGCCUGACUUCUUAUAGUGUUUUAGUAUGAGUUGAGGCAUUGUUGUCAGCAGUGAAAGCCCUAGUUUCGAGUUCAAGUAUUCUAAGUGAGUUUGCUUCUUGUUAGCAGUGUCUUGGCUGUGAUUUGAUUGUUUUUGUGAUUUGAUUCAUAGUACUGGCUGGGUCUUCUCCUUCUCCUGAUGAAGAGACUUCUCCUUCUCUUGCUUCUCUUGUAGGACCUGAUUGAUCUCUUGCUUCUCUUGCAACACCUGAUUGAGUAGAUAGGCGGAAACAACUGAUUGAGAGUCGUAGCCCAGACAGACUUACUGGCUAAAGGGAGAGUUGACAGUUAAGUCGAUUCUGAAUCUAGUAUCAGAGUUGCGGUAAAGAGAAAGGAAAUUCCACAUGGAUAAGGGUUGGUUGAACUUGAAUGCCCUCGCCUAGCUUACCUUCCUGUUAGAGAUCCAAUGCCAAUUGACCAGCUCUUCGUAUUAAGUAGUAGAUUAUGAUAGUAGAUUCUGAUCCAUAAAUAGCAAAUAUAGAAACGAGACCCGCAGGUCAGUACAGAGGCAUAGGAAUAUUGAUUAAAGGAAGCCAUCCUCGCCCGUUCGAAACCCAGCAGAAGUUUACCACAAGGAAGCGGAUCCCAUUGUAGUUGAACCCAUUGAAGAUGAAAUCAGAGAUCGAGAUCCGGAUACACCCGCAGCAUAAAGAGCAAAGGCGGGGCCGGUUCCAUGUUGAAUUGAGAAAUCCAUUUAUAAGGGUCGGAACAUUCUAAUGCCUGAAUUGGGAAUACGGGGUUGGUUAAGAUCUGGCUCGGAUGCUACUGGGAGCUAAGCAUUUGGAUCUGCUACUCGGAUUGCAAAUAGUGAAGAAUACUGGCCGGAAUCAAAAAAACGAAUUGGUAGAACAUCCAAUGAUGAGUAAACUCGGUUGGUUUCUACCUUCCUGCUCCCUGUUCUUGUGGAAUACCGAGUUUCAUCC